rnacentral:rRNA from 1 species
AUUGAACGCUGGCGGCAGGCUUAACACAUGCAAGUCGAGCGGGGGAGGUUGCUUCGGUAACUGACCUAUCGGCGGACGGGUGAGUAAUGCUUAGGAAUCUGCCUAUUAGUGGGGGACAACAUUCCGAAAGGAAUGCUAAUACCGCAUACGCCCUACGGGGGAAAGCAGGGGAUCUUCGGACCUUGCGCUAAUAGAUGAGCCUAAGUCGGAUUAGCUAGUUGGUGGGGUAAAGGCCUACCAAGGCGACGAUCUGUAGCGGGUCUGAGAGGAUGAUCCGCCACACUGGGACUGAGACACGGCCCAGACUCCUACGGGAGGCAGCAGUGGGGAAUAUUGGACAAUGGGCGGAAGCCUGAUCCAGCCAUGCCGCGUGUGUGAAGAAGGCCUUUUGGUUGUAAAGCACUUUAAGCGAGGAGGAGGCUCUUAAGGUUAAUACCCUUGAUGAGUGGACGUUACUCGCAGAAUAAGCACCGGCUAACUCUGUGCCAGCAGCCGCCGUAAGAC